UGGCUCAGACGAUAAAGUGCCCACCUGCAAUGUGGGAGACCAGGGUUCGAUCCCUG
rnacentral:tRNA from 1 species